rnacentral:lncRNA from 1 species
UGAGCCAAUUAAACCUCUUUUCUUUGUAAGUUACCCUGCCUCAAAUAUUCUCUUAUAGCAAUCCAGAAGAGAACAAGACGAUAUCAAAGUAUUGCCAUUAAACAAAAUGUGCCAACUUGGAAAUCAUCUCGCAGUUCUGAGCAUUUCUCAACUAAAAUACAUGUCAAACAAAUGAAUGCUGACAGGUAGGGGAAGGUGUGGCAGGUAAGGGAGACUGUUCCUCUCUGAAGAGCCUGUCCGUUAUCCA